rnacentral:lncRNA from 1 species
GUUACCAUCUGCUAUGGUUGAUGCAGGCUUACUAUUUCAUCAGUUUUUGAGAUUCCUCCAAUCAACUCAGCCUUCC